rnacentral:rRNA from 1 species
CGAAGGGUGCAAGCGUUACUCGGAAUUACUGGGCGUAAAGCGUGCGUAGGUGGUUCGUUAAGUCUGAUGUGAAAGCCCUGGGCUCAACCUGGGAAUGGCAUUGGAUACUGGCGACCUAGAGUGCGGUAGAGGGUGGCGGAAUUCCCGGUGUAGCAGUGAAAUGCGUAGAUAUCGGGAGGAACAUCCGUGGCGAAGGCGGCCACCUGGACCAGCACUGACACUGAGGCACGAAAGCGUGGGGAGCAAACAGGAUUAGAUACCCUGGUAGUCCACGCCCUAAACGAUGCGAACUGGAUGUUGGGUGCAACUUGGCACUCAGUAUCGAAGCUAACGCGUUAAGUUCGCCGCCUGGGAAGUACGGUCGCAAGACUG